GAGAGACGUCCUGGGAUUAUCAACGAGGACCACCCGCAGCAACACGCCGGAAAAUUCACCACACUAACCAAGUCGGUUCGGCAAAAAUUUCCCUCCGCCUCUACCCAUUGACAGGUGCCCGGGGGAAAUCGAACACCCGCCAAUCGGGACGGGCAGCGGCCCUAGCGCUGCUGGUCAUGAACAGACUAACUGAUGCUGCAGUCGAGCUCAUCGGAAGCGAAGCGGGUACCAUCGGCAUUUUAUUCGACAGUGGGUGGCUGGCCCAUAUAAAUUGAAUCACACACACACACACACCAACAGGGUACAGGUUCGACACCGCAGGAAGCAGGAAAGCAAAGGGGAACAUAAAUUAGAGAGACCGAUAAAUUUAACUCCCCCUGCCGCGCGCUCCUGGUCUCCUUCCUGGACAAACGAAUUGUGAAUGUGGUUUCUGAACUGAAAGAGUUGUGCAAGGUUGUAGGACCCGAAGGAAAAAAAAAUCCAUUAAAAGAAAUAACGAAAGCAAGUACCGACUACUAUCGCUUGCGAGGUGGAGUGUUUACCGAAAAUAAAUAUUUUCAAUUGGUGGACGACGACGACGACGGAGAAGCAAACGAGCAUUGUUGGAGGUAGUGAAGUGGUGAAGAGGUGAGUCCGGGAUCGAAGUUUAGCGAAAUACGUGAAAGCGGGAGUGUUUAUCUCGAUUUGGGAAGAGAGGAAAAGUUUUU